GACGAACGCUGGCGGCGUGCUUAACACAUGCAAGUCGAACGGAAAGGCCCUGCUUUUGUGGGGUGCUCGAGUGGCGAACGGGUGAGUAACACGUGAGUAACCUGCCCUUGACUUUGGGAUAACUUCAGGAAACUGGGGAUAAUACCGGAUAGGAGCUCCUGCUGCAUGGUGGGGGUUGGAAAGUUUCGGCGGUUGGGGCUGGACUCGCGGCUUAUCAGCGUGUUGGUGGGGUAGUGGCUUACCAAGGCUUUGACGGGUAGCCGGCCUGAGAGGGUGACCGGCCACAUUGGGACUGCGGUACGGCCCAGACUCCUACGGGAGGCAGCAGUGGGGAAUCUUGCACAAUGGGCGGGAGCCUGAUGCAGCAACGCCGCGUGCGGGAUCACGGCCUUCGGGUUAUAAACCGCUUUCGCCUGUGACGAAGCGUGAGUGACGGUAAUGGGUAAAGAAGCACCGGCUAACUACGUG
rnacentral:rRNA from 1 species